rnacentral:lncRNA from 1 species
AGUUAGCAUUGUGUUUGCUGCUCUUCAGUUUGUGGAAAUAAGGAAAUUGAAAGGAUGUAUUCCAGCUCCUAGCCUUGUGUCAUGCCUCUCAAAUGUGACAGAAUGAUCCACCCCACAGGGACCAAGCAGAGCUGGACCGUGGGGGAACACCUCGGAGACAAAGAGCUGGUAACUGAUCAGGAGUACCUCCAUGGUCUAGUCCUGGACCAAGCCAGGGAUCCAUGGCGGCGUUGACGCCAGCUGGGAAAACCUUGGCGUUCCCAGGCACAGGCCCAGCAGUAUGAUUCCACAUCUCCGAACUCUUACCUGGAUUUCGCCUCUAAAACCGGAUCAGCUACCACGCCCUAACCUGCAUUCAACUUCCUGUCUACCUGGACACCUGCAUCCAUCUGCACGCCAUUCUCCCUGCCAGAAUUCCGUCCAUACUCACCUUAUACGCUUUUCUGUUUGACCAUUAAACCACCAUUCUCUGUCACUUCUUGUCCUUGUCUGCUUUUG